CGAAUUUUUUCCAAUUUGUGUCGCUGGGAUUAAUUUAUCGACGAAUUGGUCCUCCAACCACGAAGAUGUGAUGGAGCUGGAUGACGAUGUGUAUGGAACAAGGUGAUGAGUGUUGUCCUUUAUGUCCUUUGUGACUUCGAAAGUGAAUAUGGAGACCGAACCUUGAAAAAUGGUACGUUGGCCCCUGACUUUGGAUAAUGGCCGCUGGCUCGCCCGUCCAGGGAUGAGAACUUGAAAGCCACGUUGGGCAGACGUUGGGAAUAACGAGGGUGGACAGGUCCUUCGGUGCAGAACCCCUCGGUUUUUGAUGUUACAUUCCUCUCUCAUCCGGUUUUUUUAACAUCUCCACACGCUCCAGGGGAGUACCUCGAGUCCAGACGAGCCUGCAACUGGCUAUCGCCCAAAAGGCCCAUGAGUAAUGCAAGUGGCUGUCGCCCAAAGGCUCCCAACUGGCUUCCAUUCAUCAGGGCACUAGCAGAUCGAUAAAUGCAGAAAUUUUGGUCCAUUUAAAUUAGAGUACAAAGCUCACGGAGGACUGAGGAUACUUGAAACGGGGACAUGAGAGUGCUCGAGAAAAAAUGUGAGUGUAGCCGCGGACAGGAGAAAUUAAAACGGGAGAAUGAAAUGAAAAAAUUAUGAAUGGAAAGAAAUUUAUGAGACGCCGGAGAAAAUGGCUCCUGUAAUCUGCCAUCUUUCACGGAAAUCCGGGAGAUCGAGGUUUCAGAAAUUAAUUGGAAUUUUUUCAAGUUAAUUCGCAUUUUUCUAAGGGAAAAUUCCUGGAAAUCGGGCGCGGUGAAUUUUCAGCUUUCGCAAAUUAUGCAGUGAGGCGAGCUCAUCCGUGUCACAUGCGAUUUUCCCGGAUGGCAGCGGUUCGCUGCACAUUUUGCCGGACGAGUCCUGAAGGGUAGGGGGUGGCUACAUAUGACUGUUCGAAAUACACAAAUACCAGUGAAAAUCCUGUUGUUUUCGGUGAACCCGGUCGGAUGGCGCGGAGAAUCUACUUUUCAUUCAACCCCCACGGAAAAAUUAUUGUCUGCCAAAGGUCACCCAGAAUUUUCCGGAAAAACCAUCGAAAAAUCUUCGGAAAAUCUCUCUUUUUUCCGCAAUGGAAUUUUAAGUAAAAAUUAGACCUCCAGGGGGUGAACCAAGGGACGAAGAUUAGUUCUACCCCAAAAAUUAGCCCCUCAAAUAUAAUUUUUCCAACAAAACUUGACCUAAAAAGUCGUUGAUUGCCAUUUCACCCCACCUUUGGCCCUUUAGAGGUCUAAUUUUGACCAAAAAUUUAUUUUGGGAAAAAUAUUCUUCAAAACCCUUUUUUAUUUAUUGGUAGCUGCCUCAGAAUUGAAACUUCCUUUGAUAGGAUAAUUAGUAUUUAAUAUUCACUGAAUUAAUUAUUCAGGAUUGAGGACAAACCAAGAAAUUAUGUAGUGAUAAUCACGUUAGUCAUUUAAUUACAUCAAUGGGUUUAUUGCGCUGAAAACUGACUUGUUCAUUGAAUUAUGAAUUCCAAUAUUUGUUUGAUAACAAGAGGAUUCAGUUUUCAUUGCGACAAUUAAUUAAAUUGAUGGAGAAAUUGAAAGAGGAGACUUUUCAUAAUUACAAGGGCGCCACAAAAUUGUUUGCUCUGCGAGUGAAGUAUGGAAUUGUCGGAAUUCGUGGUAAUUGUCGGUUUGAAGUAUCGAUUGUCCAGUAGUGAGUGACCACUAUAAAUAAUCGAGCUCACAAUCAUUUACGUUGAGUUCAUGUAAUUAAUUAAUUAUUUGUAGUUAAUCACUGUGUCAGUCAUUGAACGAUUUUUAUUUUCUUCAGUGGUCACUUAUAUCGAAAAAUGCAAUAUUUAUCGAACACGGGGAUCAAUAUAGUCCUGGGAAUUAUGGGAUGCGAGUUUUAUUGGAGACAUCAAUUCAUUUUUGGGGAGACAGGAGUUUGCAAACAAUUUUAUCGAACUGUUCGUUUAAAUAUCAGUAUCUCCAUUUGAUUACCAAUUUUCGAAUCCAUUUUGGAGAGUCGAGUAACAAUUGAAAAUGCAAUUACAUGGGUGGCAUGAUUUGAACGAUUCACUGAUUAAAUUUCUCUGGUGAUCGGAUUUUUUAGCAAUCAAAAUUAACAAAUGAAAAUGUGAUGAGUUUUUUCUGUUAAAAAUUAUUUGAGCGAAAAAAAAUAUAAAUCAAAUUUUUACCAGAACACCAGAAAAUUUUAAUGGAUCUUCAAUCUAUUUAUAUUAUUCCCAAGGGUUGAAACCCCUCCCCCUUUGAAUUCUUCAGCUACCCCUAAUAUUUAUUCACAAUUAUUUAUUUAAUUAUCUCAUUGAAAAAAACAAAUAAAAUGAAAUUUUCGCCAGAACAUCAAAAAAUUUUAAUGGUACAUCAAUUUAGAAGGAUUGUUCUCAAGGGUUGAAACCCCUCCCCCUUUGAAUUCUUCAUUUACCCCACAACAUUUAUCUAUUCCUCAUUAUUUUCC